GGUAACACAACAAGGGCUGCCCAAGAACGUGAACGGAUAUUGAAUGUUCAGAAAUUAUAAUAGAUAAAUUUCAUUGGCGAUUUCUGAAAGUCACCGCAGUCUUUUCUAGUAAUAACCACCAAUCAACAAUCUGCAAAAACCUUACAAGAAAACACUGAGCUACUUGAAGAAAAGUGGGCUCCACACCCAACAUGGAGCCCAUCAUGGUGCUCGAACUCGUAACCCUGAGAUGGAGACGUGAGCUGAGACCAAGAGUCAGACACUUCACCCACAGAGCCCCCUAGCCGUCCCAUGCUA